UGAAAUUGAAAAAGAAAAAGGAGAGGGAAAAAGAAAACAAAUUAAAUUUGAAACAUCUCCCAAAUUAGGUCAGUGCCGGCGGCAAAAGACAUCUCCCGGCCGGCGGCCGUUUUAGCCAAUUGACAACUCCGAUCUAAACCAGCAGUGAAGUAUGAGCAGCGCGCAAUUAUGCACGUUGCUUGGGGAAUUGGGAUUCGAAGGUCACGAAUCACUUGAUCCUGAUAGUUUCGAGUGGCCUUUCCAGUACGACGACGCUCGACCUGUCCUCGAAUGGCUUUGCUCUAGCCUUCGUCCUUCCAAUGUCCUUUCCCCCUCUGAAGUCACACAGUACCAGCAUCUUUUACAUGAGGAGAAGCUGUUGGAGGGAGAAGAUCUAGACUUUGCUUAUGACAGCAUUUCAGCCUUCUCAAUGAGGAGAGAAAACCAAGAGGCAGCUUUCGGAAGCGAAGAAGGAUUGAAGGAUAUAAGAGAUGCAACUUUAGCAUUAAAAGCUGAAGAAUUAGAGUUGCAGAAACAGCUGAGACGAUUGCAGUCUCAAUAUGAUAUGCUCACUGGGCAGGCUUCUACAUUGAUUCAGGGAAAAAGGGCUCGAGUUGCAGCAACUUCUAUUCUUAAUGGACAGCAGGCUACCACAGAUGAUAGCCUUUCAGCUAGGAAUUUAGAGAUGAAUGCAGUUCUUGGAAGGAUGGCUUCUACUGCGCAAGAGUUGGCACACUAUCAUUCAGGGGAUGAAGAUGGAAUAUACCUUUCUUACUCGGACUUCCACGCAUAUCUGCUGGCGGAUGCAUCUUGUGUAAAGGAGUUAAAUCAGUGGUUUACCAAGCAUCUAGAUACAGGUCCCUACAGAUUAGUUGCAGAGGAGGGGAAGUCAAAAUGUUCAUGGGUUAGCCUCAAUGACAUAUCAAACGUUUUACUACGAGAUCUGGUAAAGUCUCACCACCCGCCUGUUUCUGAAUUGCAAUGCCUUCGCUCCAUAUUUGUUCCAAGGGAGACGCAAUGGAUAGUAGCUCAAGUUGAGAAUGCUAAGCAACAAGCUAUUCUUACUGCGUUCAAGGGUCAAGUGACAUCAGAUGAGGCUCACAUUCAUCUGGACCUUCAUUCUCUUCGGAGAAAACAUGCUGAACUAGUUGGAGAAAUCUCAAUUUUAUAUCGCAAAGAAGAGAAGUUAUUAUCCGAGACUAUUCCUGAUCUUUGUUGGGAGCUGGCUCAGCUACAAGACACAUACAUCUUGGAAGGAGACUAUGAUCUAAAGGUCAUGCGCCAAGAAUUCUACAUUAACCGGCAAAAAAGGUUCAUAAAUCAUCUAAUUAAUCAUGUUUCAAGACAUCAAUUUCUGAAAGUAGCAUGUCAGUUGGAAAAGAAGACCAUGCUUGGGGCAUUUUCAUUGCUUAAAGUUAUUGAGUCUGAGCUGCAUGGAUACCUGUCAGCAACAAAAAGCAGAGUGGGUCAAUGCAUGGCACUGAUCCAAGCUGCAUCUGAUGUUCAAGAACAAGGAGCAGUGGAUGAUCGCGACACAUUUCUUCAUGGCAUCAGAGACCUUUUAAGUUUAUAUUCAAAUAUCCAAGCUGGUCCAUCAACAUAUGUAUCGUCACCUGGCAUUGUUCAACAGAUAUCAAGCCUUCAUUCAGAUCUAAUGUCUUUGCAAUAUGACCUUGAACACACUCUUCCUCAGGAUAGAGAUCAAUGUAUAAAUAGACUGUGCACUCUUCUUCAAAGUUUGCAGCAUUUAUUGUUUGCUUCAUCAACAACUGCUCAACCAAUUUUAACACCUCAGACACUAAUGAAGCAGCUAGCAACAUUGGAAGACUACAAUAAGAACCUAUCUCGUGCCAUUGAAGACGUGAGCCGUGAGCACUUGAAGAAGAAAGAUAUUUACAAACAUCAAAAAGAAGAGAGACGAGUUUUUGUUGAUUUCUUCUGCUACCCUGAGCGCUUAUGAAACAAGUCAUGGAACUUGCUGCAAGUGUUGGAGAUUUGCAAUCUUCAUAGGCUUCUGUAGUUAUGCUGCUGAGACAUUCUGUAAUUUGAAUUGAUCAUGGAGUGGGGAGAACCACAAGGUCUCAACUUCAAAUUCCGGUGGAGACAAAAUGUUAUGCUCAAACUUGGAGGAUAUAAUUAUCCGAUACCUCUAUGUUGGUGUGCAAAGCUGGUCCGGAUACCAAUGUUCUAAAGAAAAGAUGUUGCAUUUUGGUUUGCAAACCUGAAAAAUGUAUAGUGUUUAUCCGUGCUGGUGCUCAUAAGAACCUGAUCCGACAUUUUAUUAAUGCCUUAACGAUUUUUUUUCUUAUUAACUCGAAUUGAAGUUUGAAUUUAUUGAAAUAUCAAAAAUAUAGAACUAGAAGUGGAUUAUAGCUCAAAAUAACUGAG